CAGUCGCCGCGGGAAUACGAAGGGUGCAAGCGUUAAUCGGAAUUACUGGGCGUAAAGCGCGCGUAGGUGGUUCAUUAAGUUGGAUGUGAAAGCCCUGGGCUCAACCUGGGAACUGCAUCCAAAACUGGUGAGCUAGAGUACGGUAGAGGGUAGUGGAAUUUCCUGUGUAGCGGUGAAAUGCGUAGAUAUAGGAAGGAACACCAGUGGCGAAGGCGACUACCUGGACUGAUACUGACACUGAGGUGCGAAAGCGCGGGGAGCAAACAGGAUUAGAUACCCCGGUAGUCCCUGUCUCUUAUAC
rnacentral:rRNA from 1 species